GGGAAUGAAAAUGUGCAUGGCUAUGUUGUGCACUUGUAACCGUACUUGUACUGCUGCUACUUGCUGAUCGCUGAAUUUAAAAAAUACAUCAUAUAAAAGAUUAACUUAAUUUACCUGUUCAAUAUGUAAUUCUUCACUUUGUCGUACCGCGUCCGAUAUAAGUUCACGAUCUGCGGAACCGGGAUUGAAUGAUGGUAAGCCCAACCCAACACCAAUAGUAGCUUUAUAUGGAUCUACUAUACUGUUAUAAUGACUGCCACGUUGAUACGACAAUCGUAUAGGUUCAUUGUCACUUUUUACCAUUGUAUGGAAAAUAUUAAUGGGUUCUAUAAUAUAAUAUUUUUAAAUUGUAAA